AUGCACGUCCUAGACCAAGCGUUGUUGAUGAGAGCCUGUUGCACUGUCCUGGUGUUGCGAGCGCGGGUGCUGACAAGCUCAAUGAUAGUUGGAGCGAUCUCCCCAACCGUGAAACCAUGUAUCCAUCUAUCCUUCCAGAAUAGGAUCCUCUCUCCAUUGCCCACCUCAAUUUUCACCAGACUGUUGAACACCAUCUUGGCUUCCUUAUCUUCGAUCAUCGGGAUACCUUGCCAGGGCCUACUGUGGUCCACUCUCCUCAGCCAUUCCCACCUUACGCGUAAAGCCAACGCUUGCAACUGA
rnacentral:rRNA from 1 species